rnacentral:lncRNA from 1 species
UCCCAAAGACAUCGUUGGAUUAUCAACUGAAAACUCGCUGAAACUGAACAGAGGACUGAAACUGGUGCUGCCGGAAAACAGGAACACUGUAGCUGCCGGAAAAAAUUUAAAGUUGUCGGAAUUGAAAAGUAAAAAUAUGGAUAGGCUCGGAAUUCAAGUAGGAGCAAACUGUCCUGAAGAAAUAUUCGCCGGAAAGUACUGUAGCU